rnacentral:lncRNA from 1 species
UCGUUGUAACUUUUGGCCCAAAAUUGCAGUACACAUUGUAUUGUUCCUGAAGUCCAAUACAAGAAAUAUGUAAGAAUAAGUACACUAUGUACAAAGAAAUAUGUAUUAAGUGAUCCCAUAGAGGACUACUACACACAAUUAAAAUCUUGGAAAGUUUUUAUGAUUUAAAUAUAUGAUCAAAUUUAUAAAGGCUGCAAUUUAAUGGUUUUCCUGUUAGAGGUAUUUUUAUUCCAUGCAUAACUGUAUCCAUCUGCUAACUCUUCUUUAACCCAUGUUUCUCCAUGGCACUUAAUUUUUCAGCUUCUUCCUGAAGCCUUCACAAUCUACUACCUGCCCUCCUAGCAACUGUGCUUCACCUCUCUGCCAAGGGAGAAGCCUGGUGCUCAUCAACAGGUCCAGUGACAGCUGAAACGAAUGUAUGGAGUUAACAACUCCUGAGUCAUUUUAUACAUGAGAGAAGAGAAAAGCAAAGGCUGCUGUGUCCAUGAGUUUGCUGUGAUGUUCUUAACCAGCCUAACGAAGCCUUCUACUUGAUCAAUGAAUUCUGGCCUUGUGAGAAAAGGUACUGUGUGUUUUUUGCCAAGCUAAACCAUAGACUAUACUCUAGAGGCAUUACUCCAACAUGUGGUGCUUCAGCCAGCACUGUGAGUUUUUGGUGAGCCAAGUCAGAUUUCUACCCAGGUUUUGGAUCAUGGAGCAUAUGGCAAAAACAGUUAUACAUUCUGCUUAAACAAAAGGGAGGGUGCCAGCUUGGAAUAAUAUUCACUGGCUGGUUUUUCCACGAAAAGUUCCAGUAGUGAAAUACAACUUUGAAACUGAGAAAGGCUACAGGAAAUGACAAGGAAAUAGAGUCACUGUGUCAAUACCAAAACAAAACUAGUGGAG